AUUGAACGCUGGCGGCAGGCCUAAUACAUGCAAGUCGAACGAGUGGCGGACGGGUGAGUAAUGUCUGGGAAACUGCCUGAUGGAGGGGGAUAACUACUGGAAACGGUAGCUAAUACCGCAUACCAUCGGAUGUGCCCAGAUGGGAUUAGCUAGUAGGUGGGGUAAAGGCUCACCAAGGCGACGAUCCCUAGCUGGUCUGAGAGGUUGACCAGCCACACUGGAACUGGAACACGGUCCCGACUCCUACGGGAGGCAGAAGUGGGGAAUAUUGCACAAGGGGCGCAAGCCUGAUGCAGCAAUGCCGCGUGUAUGAAGAAGGCCUUCGGGUUGUAAAGUACUUUCAGCGGGGAGGCGUUACCCGCAGAGGAAGCACCGGCUAACUCCGUGCCAGCAGCCGCGGUAAUUC
rnacentral:rRNA from 1 species